UUUAAAUCGCGAGGGUUCUAGGAAAUGGUUACAUUUAGAACAAUUUCAUUGUUAAGAUAUCUAAAACAAAAAGUAAAAAUAUUUUACUAAAUUAUAACUACUUAAAUAAAAAAAAUUUGGUCUAAUACUUAAUUAAAUUUUAAUCUAAAAAAAAUACAAAACACUUAAUAAUAAGCACCUAUCUGGAAUAGUUUUGAAUUAUUAAAAAGUUUUAUUUUUUAAAUGAAAUCUCUCAUUUUUUUUACAUAUUUAUAUUUUAUUUCAUUAUUUUAUUGGUGAAAUAUCUAUUGGAGUUUUACCAAUUGACAUGCUCUUAUAAGCAUUAAGCCAACG
rnacentral:lncRNA from 1 species